GAACGCCGUGUGCGGUGAAAGUCGCACGCACGGUGUGGGGUGGGGGAAAAGCUGGAGAUGGCUUCAAAGGUUUACCUAUUACCAU
rnacentral:ncRNA from 2 species